ensembl:lncRNA
UGUGUGUGUAUGUUAGACCAGUUUAUGUGUGUAUGUAGGAUGUUAGACCAGUUUAUGUGUGUAUGUCAGGAUGUUAGACCAGUUUAUGUGUUUAUGUAGUAUGUUAGACUAGUUUAAGGAGGAGGAGAUGCGCAGGAGGAACAAAGAGCUGGAGGAGGCGCAGCAGGGGCUGCAGGGAAGGAAGGAGGACUAUCAGAGGGAUCUAGAGAGACUGAGGGAUGCUCAGAGGAGGCUGGAGAGGGAGAGGGAGCAGCUGCAGAGGGAGGCGGAGAGAGUGGAGCACCUCCGCGAGGUGGAGGCUCGGCUUCAGCGCACACCCUCCAGCACAUCAGAGGACUCCCUGAAGCUCCAGAGCAGCAGCUCCAUCGAGCGAGAGAUCUUGGAGGGCGAGUUAUCGUCCAGCCCCAGGAAGAACUCUCUGUCCAGGAUGGACUCCAAACAGAAGGGCCGCAGCCUCUUCUCCCUGGUCGGCAAAACUCAGAGCUUAGAAGGACAACACCAGAUCCCCACACGACUGCUUCAGCUGGCUUCAUCCAAGGAGAAGAAGGACAAAAAGAAGAAGAAGAGCAAGAGCCAGCCUCCUCAGGAUGCAGCAUCACAUCUGCUGCCCCUGACAGAGCCUUCAGUGGACGGGGAGAUCUUCUUCUGCUGAUUUACCCAUCAUCCCUUCUGUCCACAUCAUUCCCUUUCAUGGACUCUCUAUCAAAUCAUGUAGGAAGUCACCUAAAGUGCCCUCUUCACAUUUUGGCAAUCUCUCUACAAUAUAAUACAUCUCACAGACACAGAACAUGUCCAGGUUGCAUUACACCCCAAAAUCAAAAGAAAAAUUAUAUUUUGCCUAACCCAAAUCAAUACUAUUCUAGAAUUGUUUUUAUUUUUUGUGACAUUAUUUUACUAACACUUUAGCCCCCAAAUUUUCAUUACCGUAAUGUAUGAAUAGUAGUAAUAUAUUAUUUCAAUUGUAAAGUAUUUAUAUACUACGGUAAAUGUUUUUCUGCUUUUAAAUAAUGUUUUAUUACAGUAGUUUUUGCUGUAAUAAAGUUUUCUCCAUCACAGUAAUGAGAAUAACCAUUGGGAAUAAUAAUUAGUGAUUAUUAUAUAAAAAAAAAACCCUCAUGUUGCAUUAUGGUAAUGGCUAUAUAUAUAUAUAUAUAUAUAUUCCCAUUACCAUUAUGCAUCAUGAUUUUUUUCCCCCAGACAACAUAUCGCAACAUAUAAAAUCUUAUAUUUGCACUUGCUUUCAAAUGUUUAUCAGACAAAUCCCAUCUUUGAAUACUUGUUAAAAUGUGCAUUGUAUAUACAUUUCAAUUACUGCACUCAUUUAUAAAUGAACUGUGCCACCAAAAACUUUCAAAAUACAAAACUGGGGAUUGUUGCUCCCCCUACUGGCCAACUUUUUUAGGCUGAAAAAUCAUUUCGGCUUAUUGCGCACAAGAACGACUAUUUACAAUUUAAUCACGGUUUUAACAUUUAAACGGAUGCGGGGAGAGAGGUGGUUUUCCGUUUCCCCCAUGCUUUCUACUUUAGCUUCUCGAAGGAGUCCCGUCUUUGAAAUGCCACGAGCACUUUAACACCAUUCACACGUUACCCUUGCCCCGAUAAUGACAAUCAAUUUUUCAUUAGCAUUCCAAAGAUAAAGCCCUAAGGACAGUUUUUGGGGGCCAUUGUAUAACAUAACAUAUGGCAUUUCAUGCUAGUUUGAGAUUCUCUAAUCCUUCUGUGUUGAAUUCUUCAUGACUUUAGCAGGACGGAUGAGCUGUAAAUACUGUAUGAACUGUAGACACCUGAGGGAUAUUUAAAGCAACCUGCUGGACAGGUAAAAGAGAUUAACAUCCACGCAGCAUAGUGUACCUCACCUAUACAUCCACCCUUAUGGAUCAAAUGCACCAUAUCAUAUCUAAAUAUCAAUAAUAAUACAAUUAACACCCUGUCUUUGCACUCAAAGUGUCCACUUAUUUCAUCACGCGUGAAUAUUCACCUUGCAAUCCUACAGGAUUUUGUUCAGCUAGACGUUCUGUUGGCUUGAUUUUGAGUUAUUUAUUGUUCAAUGAGAAUUUAAAUUUAAAUUUUUUAAAGCAGUACAUGCUCUUAAAGUCUCAUUUGUGCAGGUUUGCGUUGCAGCUUUCACCUGCGCUGACUUGAUUCCGCCUUGAGGGAGCAGUAGAGAAGCGUUUUAUAAUGGAAGGCUCCUCUGUGGUUUUACAUAACCUCUCAGUGAUGGCAGAGGAGACACAGUGAUGCAGUGCAGGAAUUAUUAUUUCUUCACAUGCACAAAGGGAAUCAUUGGUUCGUCAUCUAAGGAAAACGGUGCCUAUGGCCUUACAGAACUGUCAGCGACACAUGUCCUCAGGAACAAACAAGGAAAACUCAAUCCAGGCGGUAUACACAUUGUUGCCGUCUCUCAUGCGUAAAUGUAAACUUAAGUUGCUUAGCCUUAAAGAAAUGAUGGUGUGCACUAAAAUAUAACCCAGCAUUUUCUCAGGAGUAUAGGUUUGUUUUAUCAUCUUUGUUUUGAAAGUAAGGUUUAAUUUGUACAUUGAGGUACAUACGUUUUCUUGCUUAAAAAAGG